GCUUCGGCAGAUUUAGCUGGUUUCUAGUGGCGGACGGGUGAGUAACGCGUGGGUAACCUGCCCUAUACAGGGGGAUAACAACCAGAAAUGGUUGCUAAUACCGCAUAAGCGCACAGGACCGCAUGGUCUGGUGUGAAAAACUCCGGUGGUAUAGGAUGGACCCGCGUUGGAUUAGCCAGUUGGCAGGGUAACGGCCUACCAAAGCGACGAUCCAUAGCCGGCCUGAGAGGGUGAACGGCCACAUUGGGACUGAGACACGGCCCAGACUCCUACGGGAGGCAGCAGUGGGGAAUAUUGCACAAUGGGGGAAACCCUGAUGCAGCGACGCCGCGUGAAGGAAGAAGUAUCUCGGUAUGUAAACUUCUAUCAGCAGGGAAGAUAGUGACGGUACCUGACUAAGAAGCCCCGGCUAACUACGUGCCAGCAGCCGCGGUAAUACGUAGGGGGCAAGCGUUAUCCGGAUUUACUGGGUGUAAAGGGAGCGUAGACGGAUUAGCAAGUCUGAUGUGAAAGGCAGGGGCUCAACCUCUGGACUGCAUUGGAAACUGCCAGUCUUGAGUGCCGGAGAGGUAAGCGGAAUUCCUAGUGUAGCGGUGAAAUGCGUAGAUAUUAGGAGGAACACCAGUGGCGAAGGCGGCUUACUGGACGGCAACUGACGUUGAGG
rnacentral:rRNA from 1 species